CCGGAUGGGCCCGCGCCCGAUUAGCUAGUUGGUGAGGUAACGGCUCACCAAGGCUUCGAUCGGUAACCGGCCUGAGAGGGCGAUCGGUCACACCGGAACUGAGACACGGUCCGGACUCCUACGGGAGGCAGCAGUGGGGAAUCUUGCGCAAUGGGCGAAAGCCUGACGCAGCAACGCCGCGUGGAGGAUGAAGGCCCUUGGGUUGUAAACUCCUGUCGGCUGGGAAGAAAUCGUUCGGGGCUCAUGCCCUCGGACGUUGACUGUACCAGCAAAGGAAGCCCCGGCUAACUCUGUGCCAGCAGCCGCGGUAAUACAGAGGGGGCCAGCGUUAUUCGGAAUUAUUGGGCGUAAAGGGCGCGUAGGCGGCCAUGCGUGUCUUCCGUGAAAUCCCUCGGCUUAACUGAGGACGUGCGGAAGAAACUGCAAGGCUCGAGUCCGGGAGAGGGGGGUGGAAUUCCCAGUGUAGCGGUGAAAUGCGUAGAUAUUGGGAGGAACACCGGUGGCGAAGGCGGCCCCCUGGACCGGUACUGACGCUGAGGCGCGAAAGCGUGGGUAGCAAACGGGAUUAGAUACCCCGGUAGUCCACGCCGUAAACGAUGGGCACUUGGUGUCGCGGGUAUCGACCCCUGCGGUGCCGAAGCUAACGCAUUAAGUGCCCCGCCUGGGGAGUACGGUCGCAAGG
rnacentral:rRNA from 1 species